rnacentral:rRNA from 1 species
AGCUCCAAUAGCGUAUAUUAAAGUUGUUGCAGUUGAAAAGCUCGUAGUUGAAUUUGUUCUGAGAAGAGGCCGGGCGCUUGUUUCGGCAAGAUGAAUCCAUGUGCUUCUUUUGGGAAUCAUUUUUGAUCCUGUGAAGGUUCAAAAUCGUUUACUGUAAAAAAAUUAGAGUGUUUGAAGCAGAUCGUAAGAUUGGUAUAUAUUAGUAUGGAAUAAUAAGAUAGGACUUUGGUGCUAUUUUGUUGGUUUGCACACCAAGGUAAUGAUUAAUAGGGACAGUUGGGGGUAUUCGUAUUUAAUUGUCAGAGGUGAAAUUCUUGGAUUUAUGAAAGACGAACUACUGCGAAAGCAUUUACCAAGGAUGUUUUCAUUA